UCCUAGUUAACCUAGGCAGUCUCGCUAGAGUUCCCGCCAUUACGCGCUGGCAACUAACGAUAAGGGUUGCGCUCGUUGCGGGACUUAACCCAACACCUCACGGCACGAGCUGACGACAGCCAUGCAGCACCUGUGCAGCAGUCCCGAAGGAAGACUCUAUCUCUAGAGUUGUCUACUGCAUGUCAAGCCUGGGUAAGGUUCUUCGCGUUGCAUCGAAUUAAACCACAUGCUCCACUGCUUGUGCGGGUCCCCGUCAAUUCUUUUGAGUUUCACCCUUGCGAGCGUACUCCCCAGGCGGCAUACUUAAUACGUUAGCUCCGGCACAGCUGGGGUUGAGUCCAGCUACACCUAGUAUGCAUUGUUUACGGCAAGGACUAC
rnacentral:misc_RNA from 1 species